rnacentral:rRNA from 1 species
GAUGAACGCUGGCGGCGUGCCUAAAACAUGCAAGUCGAGCGAACAGAUGAGGAGCUUGCUCCUCUGACGUUAGCGGCGGACGGGUGAGUAACACGUGGAUAACCUACCUAUAAGACUGGGAUAACUUCGGGAAACCGGAGCUAAUACCGGAUAAUAUAUUGAACCGCAUGGUUCAAUAGUGAAAGACGGUUUUGCUGUCACUUAUAGAUGGAUCCGCGCCGCAUUAGCUAGUUGGUAAGGUAACGGCUUACCAAGGCAACGAUGCGUAGCCGACCUGAGAGGGUGAUCGGCCACACUGGAACUGAGACACGGUCCAGACUCCUACGGGAGGCAGCAGUAGGGAAUCUUCCGCAAUGGGCGAAAGCCUGACGGAGCAACGCUGCGUGAGUGAUGAAGGUCUUCGGAUCGUAAAACUCUGUUAUUAGGGAAGAACAAAUGUGUAAGUAACUAUGCACGUCUUGACGGUACCUAAUCAGAAAGCCACGGCUAACUACGUG